rnacentral:lncRNA from 1 species
AUGUGAACCUAUUGAGAUCUUUAUUCAUGAUUAUUGGGUUAGGUAUGUGCUUUCUAGUUAAUUAGUAAUGGGGCUCACUGUCACCCUCUUGCUGCAAGGUCCGGUAUGGACCUCCAUGAGGCUCCACCGCUGGUAAUGAAACAACGUUCUAAGCUAUAUAAUGUCUCCUCCGAUGGUCAUGGCCUUCUGAGUACAUCGAGCCAUCAACCGGAUGUUUCAGGAACUCGCUGC